rnacentral:sRNA from 1 species
GGCAACGACCCGAAGGGCGAAGCGCGCAGCGCUGAGUAAUCCUUCCCCCAUCACCA